GAUGAAGAACGUAGCGAAAUGCGAUAAGUAAUGUGAAUUGCAGAAUUCAGUGAAUCAUCGAAUCUUUGAACGCACAUUGCGCCCCCUGGUAUUCCGGGGGCAUGCCUGUUCGAGCGUCAUUUCACCACUCAAGCCUCGCUUGGUAUUGGGCGACGCGGUCCGCCGCGCGCCUCAAAUCGACCGGCUGGGUCUUCCGUCCCCUCAGCGUUGUGGAAACUAUUCGCUAAAGGGUGCCGCGGGAGGUCACGCCGCAAAACAACCCCAUUUCUAAGGUUGACCUCGGAUCAGGUAGGGAUACCCGCUGAACUUAAGCAUAUCAAUAAGCGGAGGA
rnacentral:misc_RNA from 1 species